UACGAAGGGGGCUAGCGUUGCUCGGAAUGACUGGGCGUAAAGGGCGCGUAGGCGGUUCGUACAGUCAGACGUGAAAUUCCCGGGCUCAACCUGGGGGCUGCGUUUGAUACGUGCGGGCUUGAGUUCGGAAGAGGGUCGUGGAAUUCCCAGUGUAGAGGUGAAAUUCGUAGAUAUUGGGAAGAACACCGGUGGCGAAGGCGGCGACCUGGUCCGAUACUGACGCUGAGGCGCGAAAGCGUGGGAGCAAACAGG
rnacentral:rRNA from 1 species